GUUAUACGGCCCGGUAGUGGUGAGACUACUUCUGUAUACAGCUGUGUACAGCUCUGGAGAUGCAGUUCGUUUGAAGAACAGAAGGAAACUUUAGAUGCCAGAUCUUCUCAGCUUAGUAGAAUGGUAAACAAGAGGGAACUUGUUAUAAAUAUGUGGAUUAUAUAUAUACUAGGGUAGGUUGAGGAAGAGCAUUUUUAGUGAAGAACAGAACCCGUGGUGGGAAGAAUUAAUUACAAGCUCUUUGUAGACACCUUUUUCUUACUGGAAAUUAGGUGAAGAUUCUUAACCACUAGAAGAAGAAAGUUCUGAAUCAGCCUCCCAGGAGGGAGAAGUGUGCAGGGAAAUGCUCAGAUAGAAUUCUGUCUGUUUGCAAGAAGUAUUAUAUGAUAUGAUGCAAUCAUAUCAUCACUCACAAGGGCUCUAGGUAUGUCCCUUUGGGGAUGCUGUCUGGCUUAGUUGCUCAUCCAGAGAAUUGAGAUUUUUGUCUGGACUUGAGAAGUGGACGGAAGCAAUGUGAAUCACAAUGCAUGGACAGUGAGCAGAGGAGGAGCCUGGCUCUCACCGUGGCUUAGAGAUAAUACCUCAGGAGCUUCUUGCUUCCUCAAGCUUACCUCUUCCUUCAGAAUGAAGGAGGAAGCAGAAGCAGCUGAUAAGUGAGAGAAAGCUGGGAAGAAAGACUGAAGUAGUUACCUUCUGAGCCUGCUCAAUCUCUGCCUUACAUCAGAUGUGUUUAAGCUCAUUCAGUGAAACAGAGUCCUGUAACACCACCUGGAAAUGCCAGGUUCCACUUGAUUCUAGAUGAGCCAUGCAGGGAGGUGAAGAAUAUCCCAACUCCAUAAUUAGAUAGCAGUACUGCAUCUCCUAAGAAGCUAAUGAAUGAAUGGUUGUGGAAUGAGCAGAAAAAGCAUCCAGAAGGUCAAACUUUCUUAAGGAAGAGUCUGCAUUUCCGUUCCUCAGUCUCAAGUCACUGUGGUUAGUUACCAAGCUUGCCAUUACUUCAAGAGGAUUUCUUCGUUAUUUGGUGGAUUCUUGGUGCUUAGGUAAGGAAGUGAUUCUUGGAAUGAGUUCUGAAGUUCCAGUUGUGAGGUCCAGCAUCUUCCAAAAACCUGCAGGAACAGAGGAGCCAUACUAGAUCAGAGCACUGAUUAUUCUCACUCUGAUUUUGACAGAGUCCAACCGCAAAUUAAUAAGUGGAGAGGGAAAUGUCCAAAAUGCAGUUAGGCAAUUGUAUCAAACUGUGACACAAGGCAGAACAUACUCUUCCUAAUCCAUGUGAGCUGUCCAUAUACACAGUAAAUACUGAGUCUGCCUACCAGUCUUGUAAAGCUAUUUUGAGAGCUGUUUGAAAAAAAGCAGAAGGAAAAAUGAUGGUUUUGGUUUCUUUUACUUCUCUCAUUCUUGAAAGAAGAUAUUUAACAAAAGUUUCCUUAAAGGACGGAGUUUUCAACAAAGUUCACUCUGCUCUUUGUUGUGAACAUAGCCAAGAGCAUUGUUUACAGCCAUCAAGGCACUAUUGUCACAGGAAAUCUACAAAUGAUGUGCAGGUGGUCUUCAAAAGUGGUGUUCACACGUUCAUUAAAAACAUUACUUUUCUUUCUCCUUAACAUUUCUGCCUGAAGUUUUGUCUCCAUCCUACAUCAAACAACAAUGCAGAAUAUUAUCCAUCUCACUUCCAUCUUUUUAUCUGAUUCUUCUGUAAAGAACCCUUGCCAGAGUGCUCUGUCGUUUGCAACCCACCACUUGUAGCUCACUUUUUUAUUUUCUUCCAAGAUAAGUCAUCAAAGGGGAGUGAGGGUUAAAAUGUAAUGUGGAACACCAUCACAGACUGCAAGGCCAGUGUUGUCUGACGUCCUGCGUGACAGAAACAAGAGAGCAACCUCCAGGAGCCUGUGCACCAAGCCUGCAUUUAUCUUCAUUCUGUGGAAGGGAAUCACAGUAGCUAGUGGCAGCAAUCAAAGGGAAACUGCAGGAACAUAUCACCAGACUAAACACAAAGAAAUGAAUCCCUGGCUAUCCCUUCCCAUCUGAAGUUUUUUACUGCAGCCAGUGAAGACAACCUUUCAUCUCUCCAGUGUGAAGCUGUAUAUCCAGCGUACGUCAUGGCACCUUUUUGGAGGGAACACUAGCACAAGAGGAAAACUUGAGCCUGACUCACAAGAGGGGAACUUAGUUUUAAUCUGUGCCUUGGGCAAACAUGAAUGACGUGGUUAUUUCCUUCUGCUGCCUUAUUCGACAUUACCAAAGAUGUUGAACAGUAUGCAAUUAUGAUGAUUUGUAUUGGUACUACUUGAUCACUGCAACAACAGUACAAUUUCACCUCUAGAACCAAAUAAAAAUUGGCAACACUCUGAUGCUGGUGAACUUGUCUCUGCAAAUAGCAUGGCACAUCUGCUCCUCGUGUGUGUUUUAAGGUCUUCUCUUUCAGAGAGCACACUAGGAGUUGGCAAAGAAGAAGAUGAGGCCAGUGGUGUCUUGUCAUGAACAACAGUCCUAUUGUUCCAGAAAACACUGAGCCCACUCUGGUCAUAGAAAGCAGACAGAAUGAUUUUCAAGUCUGUGAAUUAUUUCUCCUUAUUUUAGAGUCAUUAAUGGAAACCUCUUCUUGCAGCUAAUAUCUGUUUUUAUGCCUGAACGUAUCUUUGUUGAAUUGUUCUUUCUGUGUGUUGCAAUAAGCAAGAUCUUUCUGCUUCUGGAGUGCGUGAAUCAUUAUAGUUAUCACUAAUAUGUGCUGAAGUUGAACACUAUUUUGUUAUUUUCCUCAGUUCUCAUUUCUGGUGGAGCUGUGCUUGGCUUCAAGUAUAGCUCAGCUUCCAACCCUCACUCCUCGUAAAUGGAAAGGAACCUUAGAUACGGAUCCAGAUAUGAAUGUGUUCCUCGGCUUUUGCCCAUCCCAGUUUCCCUCAUGAAAAAGCAUCUUCAGAGCUUACUGUUGGUUGAUGUCUGUGAUUUUUGGCUGCAAUCAACAUUUUUUAUUCCUUUCUGGAAUAAGUGUCUGACAGUUAAGAAAAAUGAGGCCUCUCUCUGCAGUGUGUCUAAGAGAGUGCUCUUCUGGGCUUUCUUAUUUGUAAAAGACUUUCCUAGUCAGGAUGGAUCGCUGUGGGAACAAGGGAAGAGUUUAACACUGUUGAAGUUGGUGUUCCCCUGCCAAGUUUCUUCACAGAAGCUAUUUUUACUCUCAGUGGCUCUGGUGGUAUCAUUUUGGUGACUGUAAAGGCUGAAAGACCAGAAGAUUUGAGGUCUGGCAAUUUUAUGCCACUGUACUGUGUACUAAUUCUUGAUGAAUCUCUGUAUCUCCAUUGGUAUUUGCUAUAUUAUUCUGCUCAUUUUCUGCCUUGUUCUCUUUUAAUGGGAUACUGGUCCAAGGUCUUUCAUCUUGCAUUUCUGUCUUUCUGCAGGGUAAUUGCAGACUGACCACGGAGUAGAAACAGUAGCUGACCUACAGUAAAUAUCAGCUGAGGAAAUGGGUUGAUGGGAACCCCAUGAAGUUCAGCAAAGGCAAAUACCACACUCUCUGUCAGAGGUCCCUCGUGAGGAAUACUAGUGUAGAAAGAAACAGAGGGGAAAACGUGAACAAUGGACCUCUCCUACCCUAAUUGCAAGUACAGCAAGUAUGUCAAGUGUGCAUUUGAGAGACAGAAGACUGCUUUGUAAACAUGAGCAGUGCUCAUGAAACAGACAGAUGAUAGCUGAGAGUCAAUCUGUAGCUAUAUCCAUCUUGAAGAAACCUUAUCUGAUGAAGCGAACCAGCAUAGCCUGUAUCUGUAAUUCUUGAUCAAUAUAUUUUUGUUUUAUCUUCUGCUGAAUGGCCUUGCUGCAUUUUAUAUGAAAUUUGAUUGUAUAAACGGCUUCCACAUUUUGGAAACGCUUCCAGUUUGGGAAUAUAAGUGGAGAAAUGGUUGAUGUCUGGAUUUCUCUCAGAUUAAGUGAAAAGCACCUUCUGAAGUACUGAACUGCUGCAAUCACACCUGGUUUGGCCCUGCCCUAAAACAAGCUUUGGGGUAUGAGAGAGUGCUGAAGUCUACCUGGAGUUCUUAUAGGUUGGUCUCUAGAGGCAGAAUAUCAGACACUUUCUGAAAUUUCAUAGUUUAGGAUUUAGGUGUGUUUUUCCUUCUGAGCAUAAGCAAUUUACUGAAUAUGGUCAGCGUUUUCUUUAUUGGCGUUGUAGAGUGAAGGAUAACUGCUUUGCAAAUCAACUAAAUUAAAACUACUGUAUUAGGAAUACUGCCUUUAAGCAUAAUAACUGUGUAACACAAACUUGGCAGAAAGAUGUUUAAUUUACAGGAAAAAAAGUGAACAGGUUAAAGAAUAUUCAGAUAAGUUAGGUAGAUUCAAGUCAGCAGGGCCUGAUGAAAUUCACCCCAGAGUACUUCAGGAACUAUCUGAAGUGAUCUCUGAACUAUUAGCAGUUAUCUCUGAGAGCUCAUGGAGGAUGGGUGAGGUCCUGGAGGACAGGAGAAAAGCAAACACUGUACCUAUCUUUAAAAAGGGGAAACAGGAAGACCUAGGGAAUUUCAGGCCAGUCAGGUUGACUUUGAUACUGAGAAAAAUGCAAGAGCAAAUUAUUGAACAAUCAAUUUGUAAACACCUAGAGGAAAAUAAGGUGAUAAGAGCCAGCAUGGGUUUGUCAAGAACAAAUCACAUCAAAGCAAUCUAAUUUCCUUCUUUGACAGUGUAACUGGCCCAGUGGAUAAGAGGGAAGCAGCAGAUGUGAUAGAUCUUGACUUCAGUGAGGGCUUUGACACACAUCCACCUGACAUUUUCAUAAGUAAGUCAGAGAAAUAUGCUUUAGAUGAAGUUAUUAUGUGAUGAGUGCAAAACUGUUUGAAAAAUUGGACUUAUUGGUAAAGCAAUUAUCAAUGUUUUGUUGGCAAACUGGGAAAACUGUGGUAUCUCAUCAAAUAAGAUAUCACAGAGGUCUGCCUUAGGUCCAGUAUUAUUCAAUGUUUACAUCUUCGAUGAUGGAAGAUAUAGAAAACUUUUAAAAAUUGCAGGUGAUACUGAACUAGAAGGGCUGCAAACAUUUUAGAGAACAGGAUUUGAAUACAAAAUAAUCUUGAUAAAUUGAAGAAAGAGUCUGAAGCCAAUAAGAUGAAAUUCAAUAUGAACAAGUGUAAGGUAUCACUUCUGAGGAAGGAAACAUCAAAUACACAAAUAUGAAAUGGAAAACAAGAAGUUUGGAAGCAGUUCACAUAAAAGAAGUUUAGCACAUUGCACACAAAAAAAAUAUGUAAUUCAGAAAUACAAAGUUGUGUGAUGGGAUGAAUUAAUGGUUAUGUUGUGAGUAACUGGGAAGCAUCUAUUUCAUUCUGCUCUGGAUAACGAGGCCCAACCUGGGAAUAUUAUGUCUGUGUCCAGUGGUGACAUCACAUUAUGGUAGAUAAUUUUGAAAUCUUUUUCAUUUUGAAAGGAGAAAGAGCAGUGCUUAGAAAGCAGGAAAAGCUGAAAUAAAUGACUCCUUUUGUUUUGGAAAAAAAAAAAAAAUAGGCAUAAUGUAGAUCAGCGAUACAAAAAAAUGUUACUAAAAAUGUGAGAGAGAAAAGGGCACUUACCUGUUCUCCCUCAGUAAAAACGUUGUGAAAAGAAACGGAUAGGCAAAGCUGAAGCCUGAGAUACUCAGAUUAGGUACAAUUCAGAUAGAUUUCUCUGGUUAUGAGAAUGGCACAGCACUGGAACAAGGUUUCUAAAAUACUCCAGAAUCCUUGCUUCAAAUCCUUAAAAUGGGUCAGACAGACAUCUGUCAGUGAUGUGGAACAGAUGUCCUCUUGAGAUCGCUUCUACUUUCACAUUUCUACAAUAAUUCGUACACCUCAGUCAAGAGGAAAACCCACGUGAACCAAAUAAGCAAGAAUUGCUCGCAUGCACAUACAAACAUACAUUUCCUACCAAACCCCCAACCUUUCCCUGAAAAUCUCUUUUCCUAUCAAACAUUUCUGUGCACUUAUCAAACUGAUGUUGUUUCUUCUAGUCCUUUUCACCUGCACGUCCCCCAAAACAGAGAAAAGAGUCACUCAUCACUUCAUUUCUGUAUUAAAGAUUAUGGAGAAAGGCAGAUCUGACGUCUAUCCAAACAACUAAUCCAGUAUGUUGCUUUCUGUGGGCUGACCCUACUAAUGUAUAGAAGCAAGCCUCCGAAGCCAUAAAAGCCUUUUUUGAAACUAUCUGUUGCAAGCUGCCAUAAGAAGUGCUUUGUUCUUUUUCUCUCUGUAUUUUUGAUGAAGCUACAGUUUGAAAAUGACACUUUAUAAAUAUGCCUGCUCCCCUUUAAUGAUAAACUUGGGACAAACUGGAUGAUAUUUUCAUGAGGUUUUAUUGGCAUGAUUUUGAACUGUUUUGUUAUUUAUGGGAGCAUCCUAGACAGACUGCAGCAAACACUCAGCAUCUUCUUGUUAUGUUUACUGUGUGAGCCACAUGCAUCUCAAAAUGUAGUCUUGAAAUAUAUAGUGAGAAAAGGGAGCUUCUUUUAGGGCUGCAGGGCCAGAAAUCUUAGUCAUCAAGUGCUGAUUUGUGUGAAGAUUACAACAGGAAAAAACAGUGUUUUAAAUGACUGAUCUAAACAAGGUACCUGAAAUUUAACUGCAGGGUUUGCACACUGCACUGCAGUGCAUGCGUGCUACCUCAAAAUGACACUCAGAGCAGAAUGUCUUCUCCUGCAUGUGCUUGCCUUUGUGAUCAUACCUGCACGAUAACAAAUUCAGGAAACCUUUUCUUAAAGGUUAUGAGGCUGCGGCUGCAAGUAAAGAAUUGUUUGUCUUGCUUUGUAUCUGGGAUUAUGCCUGUUCCAUCUCCAUGAAACCAAGGAUGUUUAAUUUUGCAUGAAUGGUGGUGGGGCGAGUGUUAUUUGGUUCCUUGGCUUAGAUUUCCUACUAGGUCCGGAGGCUUAGAAAAAGGAAUAUCCUUACUUGGAGAACAGCCAUCUCCCUUUCCAGGCAAACUGACUGGUAGGUGACAGUCUUUGACAAGGGUCCAGUCUCAGUUCCCUGGAAGUAGGUUAGUCAUGUGAGAAGCUUUUCUGUGCAUUCGAAGACACACAAGAUAGUUCUGCUUGAGCCAGGUUCAUGCACAGUGCUAAGGCUAUAUUCAUGUGGUGCAAUGCUUCUUGGAUACCUAUAUGCCAAGGUUAAUAGUGUAACUGACCUUCCUCUUCUCUAUUUUGCUCUGGCCCUGUUCUUAUUCACGUAUGUCUUUAGCACAUAUGCUUUAGCUUUACCUGAGUAUAACAGUCUCCUAUUACCUCCUGCAACUGAGAACUGGUCAAAACUGAGCAUCCCAGGCUCUAUUAAAAUGUCAGCAAGAUUUUACGCACGAGUUAAGUCCCACUUAAGGAGUAUUUUGAGAUUUCACUGUGCAAUGUAAAAAAAUAAAUUUGCAGUUACUGACCCCUCCA